GACGAACGCUGGCGGCGUGCUUAACACAUGCAAGUCGAACGAAGUGGCGAACGGGUGAGUAACGCGUAAUCAACCUGCCUUUCAGAGGGGGACAACAGUUGGAAACGACUGCUAAUACCGCAUACUGAAGGAGGGGAUUGCGUUUGAUUAGCUCGUGGGAGGGGUAAAGGCCAACCAAGGCGAUGGUCAGUAGCCGGUCUGAGAGGGUGGACGGCCAAAUUGGGACUGAGAAAACGCCCCAACUCCUACGGGGAGCAGCAGGGGGGAAUCAUCCGGAAUGGACGAAAGUCUGACGGAGCAACGCCGCGUGAAUGAUGACGGCCUUCGGGUUGUAAAGCUCUGUUAAUCGGGACGCGGUACCGGAAUAGAAAGCCACGGCUAACUACGUGCCAGCAGCCGCGGUAAUUC
rnacentral:rRNA from 1 species